AAAUAAGAAGCGAAUAUUGCAAUCAGUUUCGACCUGAUACUUGGUUAACUAAACCCUUAUUUA
rnacentral:tRNA from 1 species